UUUCUGUCUCAGUCUCUCUGUCUCCCUUCGUUCUCUUUCUCUCCCCCUGCUACCCCCCCCCACAGUUACACACACACACACACACACACACACACACACACACACACACACGCAGUGUGAAAGAUGCGAGCCAUAGCAUCUCGUAACAUGAAGGCCAUCCAGCUCCAUCCUCCCACUGCUGCUUGAACAAUAUGCUUAACACGUAGUGCCGCAGUCGCUGCUUGGAUUGAAUGUGUUCAUGCACAGAUUUUAUCAUCUUGUUACUCAAACGACUGAUGGCUUCUGACCCUGCCUGAAAAUUUCCUAAGAGGUAACAGUUCUAGGACACAGAUGCUGGAGGGAGUGGAGGAAGAAGUUUAAUUACCACAUACAGCUCUUCCAUAUGCAAGGUCUCUGGGGCAAAACUGUCAUUCUGUCUGAAGCCAGACCCUCAAUGUCAGACUAAGAGAGUCGGAUGGAGACUACAUCUUCUGUGUGUGUUGCAAUGGGAGGACUUCUCUCCACCGAGUUUAGUGAGGGGGUUCUUGAAGAGGACUGCCAGAAGCACUGGGGAAAGGCC
rnacentral:lncRNA from 10 species